CAAAAAAGUUCAAAUGCCUAAUUAAGUUUAAAUAUUUAGGACCCAAAGAAUUCAAAUCCGAAAAGAACUGAUAUGAACCUGAUCCAAAAAAAAAAGGUCUAGACACGGAAAUGAUACAUAAAAUACAAACAACCACACUUUAACACAAAGACCAAGGCCUAACGAAAAAGACAACUAGACCACCACUUUACCUUAUUCGUCUGGCUGCUUGAAGGCUGAUCAAAAGUCAUACUACUCUCACCACAAUCUUUUUGGGGAUUGGAUUGAACGAGCAUAUAUACAUAGCCGGUCCAAAACCUUUCCCAGGAACCCAGUCAAAGCAAAUUGUUUGAAAAUGAAUUCCAAAGGCAUAGCGGGUUACCUCCUAAAACUCACAUCAGAGGUUCCUUACCAAAGCCAUAACCAUUAGGAACCACAAGAAACUGAUUCAAACAAAGCAUAGAGGAAGAGAUCAUCAAUCCAUCAAGAACCUAUUUCUUUUUUUGCUUCUUCUAAAUAGUAUAUGUAUGUUCUACGUUUAUCAUGGUCGAUACAACAAUUUUGUAUUUCGUACGUACAUGAAAUUUUAGGUCUUCUCUAUAUGAUUAUGGUACAAGUACAACACAUCUGAUCUCAAACCUACGAGCCUUAGCCUAACCUUCACAUAGCAAGGCAUAAAUGUAUAUUUAUCGUGGCUUUACCUUAUUCGUCUGGCUGCUUGAAGGCUGAUCAAAAGUCAUACUACUCUCACCACAAUCUUUUUGGGGAUUGGAUUGAACGAGCAUAUAUACAUAGCCGGUCCAAAACCUUUCCCAGGAACCCAGUCAAAGCAAAUUGUUUGAAAAUGAAUUCCAAAGGCAUAGCGGGUUACCUCCUAAAACUCACAUCAGAGGUUCCUUACCAAAGCCAUAACCAUUAGGAACCACAAGAAACUGAUUCAAACAAAGCAUAGAGGAAGAGAUCAUCAAUCCAUCAAGAACCUAUUUCUUUUUUUGCUUCUUCUAAAUAGUAUAUGUAUGUUCUACGUUUAUCAUGGUCGAUACAACAAUUUUGUAUUUCGUACGUACAUGAAAUUUUAGGUCUUCUCUAUAUGAUUAUGGUACAAGUACAACACAUCUGA
rnacentral:lncRNA from 1 species